rnacentral:tRNA from 1 species
CGCGGGGUGGAGCAGCACGGUAGCUCGUCGGGCUCAUAACCCGAAGGUCGCAGGUUCAAAUCCUGUCCCNNCAU